CCUACGGGAGGCAGCAGUGAGGAAUAUUGGUCAAUGGACGAGAGUCUGAACCAGCCAAGUAGCGUGAAGGAUGACUGCCCUAUGGGUUGUAAACUUCUUUUAUAUGGGACUAAAAUGUUCCACGUGUGGGAUUUUGUAUGUACCAUAUGAAUAAGGAUCGGUUAACUCCGUGCCAGCAGCCGCGGUAAUACGGAGGAUCCGAGCGUUAUCCGGAUUUAUUGGGUUUAAAGGGAGCGUAGGUGGAUUGUUAAGUCAGUUGUGAAAGUUUGCGGCUCAACCGUAAAAUUGCAGUUGAGACUGGCAGGCUUGAGUACAGUAGAGGUGGGCGGAAUUCGUGGUGUAGCGGUGAAAUGCUUAGAUAUCACGAAGAACUCCGAUUGCGAAGGCAGCUCACUGGACUGCAACUGACACUGAGGCUCGAAAGUGUGGGUAUCAAACAGGAUUAGAUACCCUAGUAGUC
rnacentral:rRNA from 1 species